UACGUAGGGGGCUAGCGUUGCUCGGAAUUACUGGGCGUAAAGGGCUCGUAGGCGGCCAACUAAGUCAUACGUGAAAUCCCUCGGCUUAACCGGGGAACUGCGUCUGAUACUGGAUGGCUUGAGUUCGGGAGAGGGAUGCGGAAUUCCAGGUGUAGCGGUGAAAUGCGUAGAUAUCUGGAGGAACACCGGUGGCGAAGGCGGCAUCCUGGACCGAUACUGACGCUGAGGAGCGAAAGCCAGGGGAGCAAACGGG
rnacentral:rRNA from 1 species